GACGGAGGAUGCAAGCGUUAUCCGGAAUGAUUGGGCGUAAAGCGUCCGCAGGUGGCAAUUCAAGUCUGCUGUUAAAGCGCAGGGCUUAACCCUGUAAAGGCAGUGGAAACUGAAUAGCUAGAGUAUGGUAGGGGUAGAGGGAAUUCCCAGUGUAGCGGUGAAAUGCGUAGAUAUUGGGAAGAACAUCGGUGGCGAAGGCGCUCUGCUGGACCAUAACUGACACUCACAGGACGAAAGCUAGGGGAGCGAAUGGG
rnacentral:rRNA from 1 species